UACGAAGGGUGCAAGCGUUACUCGGAAUUACUGGGCGUAAAGCGUGCGUAGGUGGUUUGUUAAGUCUGCUGUGAAAGCCCCGGGCUCAACCUGGGAAUGGCAGUGGAUACUGGCAAGCUAGAGUGCGGUAGAGGGGUGUGGAAUUCCCGGUGUAGCGGUGAAAUGCGUAGAGAUCGGGGAGGAACACCAGUGGCGAAGGCGGCACCCUGGACCAGCACUGACACUGAGGCACGAAAGCGUGGGGAGCAAACAGG
rnacentral:rRNA from 1 species